rnacentral:rRNA from 1 species
AGCGAACGCUGGCGGAAUGCUUAACACAUGCAAGUCGCACGGGGACUUCGGCCUUAGUGGCGGACGGGUGAGUAACGCGUAGGAAUGUGUCCGAGGAUGGGGGAUAACGUUGGGAAACUGACGCUAAUACCGCAUAUCUCCUGAGGGGGAAAGCCGCGGGGCGUCCACGGAGCAGCCUGCGUACGAUUAGCUAGUUGGUUAGGUAAAGGCUGACCAAGGCGACGAUCGUUAGCUGGUCUGAGAGGGUGAUCAGCCACACUGGAACUGAGACACGGUCCAGACUCCUACGGGAGGCAGCAGUGGGGAAUAUUGGACAAUGGGCGCAAGCCUGAUCCAGCAAUUCCGCGUGGGUGAAGAAGGUCUUCGGAUUGUAAAGCCCUUUCGUUGGGGACGAUGAUGACGGUACCCAAAGAAGAAGCCCCGGCUAACUUCGUGCCAGCAGCCGCGGUAAGAC